GACGAACGCUGGCGGCGUGCUUAACACAUGCAAGUCGGACGGAAAGGCCCUGCUUGCAGGGUACUCGAGUGGCGAACGGGUGAGUAACACGUGGGUGAUCUGCCCUGCACUUCGGGAUAAGCCUGGGAAACUGGGUCUAAUACCGGAUAGGAGCCAUUUUUAGUGUGAUGGUUGGAAAGUUUUUUCGGUGUAGGAUGAGCUCGCGGCCUAUCAGCUUGUUGGUGGGGUAAUGGCCUACCAAGGCGGCGACGGGUAGCCGGCCUGAGAGGGUGGACGGCCACAUUGGGGCUGAGAUACGGCCCAGACUCCUACGGGAGGGAGCAGGGGGGAAUAUUGCACAAUGGGCGCAAGCCUGAUGCAGCGACGCCGCGUGGGGGAUGACGGCCUUCGGGUUGUAAAAUCCUUUCGCUAGGGACGAAGCUUUUUGUGACGGUACCUAGAGAAGAAGCACCGGCUAACUACGUG
rnacentral:rRNA from 1 species